GCUAACUACGGGCCAGCGGCGGAGGGAAAACGUGGGGGGAAAGCGUGGUCCGGAAUUACUGGGUGUAAAGGGAGCGCAGGCGGAAGGGCAAGGUGGGAGUGAAAACUAUGGGCUUAACUCAUAGAUUGCUUUCAAAACUGCUUUGCUUGAGUGGUGUAGAGGUAGGCGGAAUUCCCGGUGUAGCGGUGGAAUGCGUAGAUAUCGGGAGGAACACCAGUGGCGAAGGCGGCCUACUGGGCACUAACUGACGCUGAGGCUCGAAAGUAUGGGUAGCAAACAGGAUUAGAUACCCUAGUAGUC
rnacentral:rRNA from 1 species